AUGUCAAUUGGCGACAUGUAUGCCGCCCCAUCGAGUGUGGAGGUCUUGGGGUGCAUGACCUGGAGCGCACCGGGCUCGCGCUCCGGCUGCGCUGGCAAUGGUUUGCUCGCGUGGACACGGAUCGCGCCUGGCAGGGACUUGACCUUCAAUUCUCACAUGAGGAGCGCGCCCUCUUCUUUGCAUCCACGACCAUGA
rnacentral:rRNA from 1 species